rnacentral:lncRNA from 1 species
GGGGAUUCUUGGGAGUUGAGUUUGGCUGCAAAUCCGGUGCAGUUAGCGCGACUCUCUACCCCCAUGCGAGGCUUCGGCACGCAGGCAACGGCCGGCGAGGCUAUGGCAGCGGAUGCCAGGACGGAGGUCCCGGGAUUUGGCUGAGUUUGUCCAGGCAGUGGAUCUGGCGUAUCGGGCACGGAUUUUGCUUGGGCAGGCCUUGGCAGAGGAAGGAAGUCGAGGUGGCGGCGGCGGGAGUGGUUGAAAGCGGUUUGCUGCGCUGGGCGUAGUAGGGUUCCAGAUGCUGGGGCGGCGGCCUCGGGCAGCGUUGGUCUGCAGUCAAUCAGAGGCGACGAGAAAUGCUGGGCUUUUGAGGCGUGCCUCACUUCCACCUCUGUUAGCGGAUUUGGUUUCUCUCCCCUUCAAUGGGCGGCGGUGUAUGCGGUGUGGGGUGUGAUGCUCCGGCGAAGCUUCUCCGUGCUCGUGCUCCUUCGGAGCCCGUCGAGGUCCUUCAACCCCUAUCUGAUGAGUCACGCCGGAUCUGGUUGCCAGUGGAGGGGGUCCCUUUUG